CGUGUAGGUGGUCGGGUAAGUCAGAUGUGAAAGCCUUCUGCUUAACAGAAGAAGUGCAUUUGAAACUGCUCGGCUAGAGUACGGGAGAGGAGAGUGGGAUUCCCGGUGUAGAGGUGAAAUUCGUAGAUAUCGGGAGGAACACCAGUGGCGAAGGCGGCUCUCUGGUCCGAUACUGACGCUGAGACGCGAAAGCGUGGGGAGCAAACAGGAUUAGAUACCCUGGUAGUCCACGCCGUAAACGAUGGGCACUAGGUGUAGGAGGUAUUGACCCCUUCUGUGCCGAAGCUAACGCAUUAAGUGCCCCGCCUGGGGAGUACGGCCGCAAGGCUAAA
rnacentral:rRNA from 1 species